ACUACUGUGGAACUGAAGAACAAAAAGUGGAGGAUAAGGAGCAAAUAACUUCUAAAUAUAUUUAUAUCUACAGCAACAUCACAACAAGAAUCAUAUUCAAUGCAGAACCGAAUGCGACCUCUUGCCCCAAGAUGCUUCAGGACUGUAAUGAGUGCUGGAUUCUGAUCUUCUGUCUGUGUCCAGUUGUAUCUAUUGUCUCCUCUCUCCUCUCCUCACUUGUGGUCUAUCACUGCUGUAAGAAGGCUGAAGAACAUCCUGUUGAUCAGCAAAGACCUGACACUAGAGGUCAUCCAAGACAGAGCCAGGAUGACGAUGUGUGCUAUGCUGCUGUGGAAAUCCGUCAGAAAUCAAAGAGACCAAAGAAGAAGAAGGAACCGCAGACUUCUGACUUCUGCACCUAUUCUGCUCUUAAUACAUCUAAGAUGUAACAGGCCUAAGACCAGAGGAAUAAAAAAAAUGAAUUUUAUAAUGUUGAUAUAUAUAGACCAUUCUGUCAUUGCAUAGUUCAAACAUUGCUGGCUGUAUUAACCACAACAUUCAUCACGGAAAAUAUGCGUCAUGUGGUCUUAUUUCCUUGCGCCACUGAGAUGAAUUUUGAAAAUUAAAGGAGCCGUAAAAAUCAGAAAUGAAGAACAAUCUCAUAAGUGUUUGUCGUGGUUGAUUACACUUCAUCUUCAGAAUCUUUAUAUUCUUAAUUGAGAUCAAUUUCAUAAAGUUUGUAAUGGCUGCUGGUCUGAAUCUAGACUGUUCUCUGGCAAUUUCCUGUUUUUAUCUCAAGCUAACCAUCAACCAUGAUGCUUUGCCUGUGCAGUCUGAUGCAAUACAAGUAUCAAUUAUGUUGGAGCUGAUUCUGUUAAAGAUACUAAAACCUUUAUCCUCUUUUUUGUGUAAAGGGAAUACAUAUAAAAGCUCGCAACACAAGACAGAUACUGUAACAUUUUCUUAUAGCUUCUUCAAGACCCUGACCCAAUGUUUGCAAGACAUCCCAUGAAAACAAAGAGUAAACAACAAAGUCAACUUAUAACACAUGAUGUAGCACCCUGGCAUCAGUCCGGCUCACAGGAAACCCACACUGACAAAAAAGCCCCUCAUACGACGGCACAGCUCAUCACACAGGCACACUGAAGCUGCAGGUUAGUUCACAGCUUCGUUGUCAAGGUUCACACUUUAUGGUGGCAAGACAGAUAGUGACUGAAGAAAGACCCAAGCACAUGCGCACAAAGCAUAACCAGCCAAGGGUGCAAAAAAAGAGUGUGAGUCUGACACUGUCUCUGAGAACGAUCAGUAAGUAUAAAGUACUAAAGCUUUUUCAUUAAAGAGCCGUAACUAAGCUCAACCUUCAUCACGUCUUUGUGCAUUCAUAUUGAUUUUGUGACAGCGUGAUAUUGG